rnacentral:lncRNA from 1 species
GCAUUGGGACCACCACUUGUCUGUGUAGGUGCCUUGCUAGGCCAGCCUGCUGUGUACCUGAUCAGGUGCAGACAACCCAUCCAUGCCUUGGAGGUCUGCCAGAUGUUCUGGCAGACAGAUGAGCUGUCAGUGUUCAGGUGGGUCCAAGCAGUGGGCAUCUGGUGAUGAUGUCACAAUGCUGGAGCCAGGACAUGGGCUCCUGGCAGGACCAGGCUCUUUGGAAAGAGGAGCCUAUGAGAAUGGCCAGCAACUGUUGUCAGAGGAGAGAAAUGCUCAUUGGUGCUGCAGCAGAGUCCGCAGGCUGCAGAUAGACAGUGGUGAUGCUGAGGAACCGGGGGAGGAGCACUCAGAGGAACUGUCCACAGAGGAGCUUCAGAAACGUCUGGAUGAGCAAUGGGGAAUGGCAGCUGAGGGGCUUUCUGAAGAGGAGGGGGAGUGUCAACAAUCAGAGCGGCAAAGUUCUUCUGAAAUAAAGGAAAUCCUGAAAAAAUGGACAGAGCCACAGACAUUUAUAGAGAAGACCCACCCGGACAGAGAAAACGCCACCUGUUGUUUUUACUUACUUAAUAAUGAUGUCAUGUCCUACUACAGAACAGCGUUAAAUAAAAGACAGAAACAGACAACCUCAGACCAGUUUUUAGUUCUGAAAAGGUCGAGACCUAGUGAUCCUGAAGCAGGUCCUAGUGUGCUACAGAUUCUACCCAGGAGAGAAAGGACACCAGAGAGGCAGGUUCCGGAUGUUCUUAUGGAAGGGGACCCUCCUUCCAAACAAAAACCACCUUCCAUUUCAUCCUUCCUUCCUCAAGCCAAAGAUGUCAACUUGCAUGUGCCAACAAAGAUUUCCUUCCCGGUUAGAUGGGCACCAGGCUUUAUGGAAUCUUCUGUAGGAACAGCUCUCUUUGGGUCCACUACACGCCCAUCAACUUUGGUCGAGCACAUUGCUGCAUUGAUCUCUUCAACACAAGAGCAUCUGUGUUACACUGACCAAAAUGAAGGGAAGCUUCAGAAAGCAGCACCCUGGAGGAGCUGACCCCAAUUUUAUUUUAAUCAGUCAACAUGUUUACACACAUGAUCGCUUUCACAUUUCUACUUUGAAAUUUAACCAGAAUGUCCAGGAAUAGGAUAUCUUGAAUAACUUAAUUUUCAGACUAACCAAUGCCUACAAGAGCAC